rnacentral:rRNA from 1 species
GGCCAGACUCCUACGGGAGGCAGCAGUGGGGGAUAUUGCACAAUGGGGGGAACCCUGAUGCAGCGACGCCGCGUGGGUGAAGAAGUAUUUCGGUAUGUAAAGCCCUAUCGGCAGGGAAGAAAUUGGACGGUACCUGACUAAGAAGCCCCGGCUAACUACGUGCCAGCAGCCGCGGUAAUACGUAGGGGGCAAGCGUUAUCCGGAUUCACUGGGUGUAAAGGGAGCGUAGACGGCCAUGCAAGCCUGGAGUGAAAGCCCGGGGCCCAACCCCGGGACUGCUCUGGGAACUGUGCGGCUGGAGUGCGGGAGGGGCAGGCGGAAUUCCUGGUGUAGCGGUGAAAUGCGUAGAUAUCGGGAGGAACACCGGCGGCGAAGGCGGCCUGCUGGACCGCGACUGACGUUGAGGCUCGAAAGCGUGGGGAGCAAACAGGAUUAGAUACCCCGGUAGAC